AGUCCAACCGGUCGCAGCAGAUGGCCCCGCCCCUCCCUGAGCCUGGUUCUGCCGGAGGUUUCUUCCUGUUAAAAGUGAAGUUUAAAUCCCGGAGGACAAUGUCCACAGCAAAGAAUAAACAGGGCAAACAACACAAAUAUAAAGUCUCAUGGGCGCACACCACUAACAGCACAAGGAAGAACGAAAUCCACAUGGAGAAUGUGUUGCCUCAUCACUUUACACUCAACUUAUCACAGACACACUGAGGCACCAGGAGACCAGAACCUAAACCCAGGAUAAAGAGUUUGAGUGAAUGUGGUGUUGAAGGUGUGGAGGUGGAUCAGAGUGUCAGAGGAGACUCUGUAGAAGGACAGAGUGCCAGCAGGACAGUCCA